AGUGAACGCUGGCGGUAGGCCUAACACAUGCAAGUCGAACGGCAGCACAGUAAGAGCUUGCUCUUACGGGUGGCGAGUGGCGGACGGGUGAGGAAUACAUCGGAAUCUACUUUUUCGUGGGGGAUAACGUAGGGAAACUUACGCUAAUACCGCAUACGACCUACGGGUGAAAGCAGGGGAGCUUCGGACCUUGCGCGAUUGAAUGAGCCGAUGUCGGAUUAGCUAGUUGGCGGGGUAAAGGCCCACCAAGGCGACGAUGCGUAGCUGGUCUGAGAGGAUGAUCAGCCACACUGGAACUGAGACACGGUCCAGACUCCUACGGGAGGCAGCAGUGGGGAAUAUUGGGCAAUGGGCGCAAGCCUGAUCCAGCCAUACCGCGUGGGUGAAGAAGGCCUUCGGGUUGUAAAGCCCUUUUGUUGGGAAAGAAAAGCAGCAGGUUAAUAUCCCGCUGUUCUGACGGUACCCAAAGAAUAAGCACCGGCUAACUUCGUG
rnacentral:rRNA from 1 species